CACGUAGGGCGCGAGCGUUGUCCGGAAUUAUUGGGCGUAAAGAGCUCGUAGGCGGCCUGUUGCGUCCGCUGUGAAAGCCCGGGGCUUAACCCUGGGUCUGCGGUGGGUACGGGCAGACUAGAGUGUGGUAGGGGAGACUGGAAUUCCUGGUGUAGCGGUGAAAUGCGCAGAUAUCAGGAGGAACACCUGCGGUGUAGACGGCUUUCUGGACCAUUGCUGACGCUGAGACACGAAAGCGUGGGUAGCAAACAGG
rnacentral:rRNA from 1 species